GCAGGAGGGUCCCGUGGGUUUGACAGCUGCUCUUCACACUUCCGACCACAUCCCCACUUGCCACAGCGAGUGCAGAGAAGAAUCGACGUUGGAAGUGCUUGUAGAUCAUUUGCUUCCCGCCGCUGUGGCCGCGUCCCGCUCCUCUCGGCAGUGGGAAAAGGAGCCGGGGAGGCGCGCAGCGAGGGCAGAGGGCCGGGAGGCGGCAAAGGCCCACUCGUCUGGAGAGGGGGGAGGGGGGGCAGUGUGACACGGAGGAGCUGUGUCCUGGUAUCUCGUUACACACACCUACCAGUCCAGAAAACAAGAAACGACUGUGUCCUCAUGUCUUCAUUAUAGCUGAAAUGUAUAAAAUAAACUACUGUGAAAUGUAUAAAAAAAAAA